rnacentral:rRNA from 2 species
UAACGGGGCUAAACCAUGCACCGAAGCUGCGGCAGCGACACUGUGUGUUGUUGGGUAGGGGAGCGUUCUGUAAGCCUGCGAAGGUGGCCUGUGAGGGUUGCUGGAGGUAUCAGAAGUGCGAAUGCUGACAUAAGUAACGAUAAAGCGGGUGAAAAGCCCGCUCGCCGGAAGACCAAGGGUUCCUGUCCAACGUUAAUCGGGGCAGGGUGAGUCGACCCCUAAGGCGAGGCCGAAAGGCGUAGUCGAUGGGAAACGGGUUAAUAUUCCCGUACUUGGUGUUACUGCGAAGGGGGGACGGAGAAGGCUAUGUUGGCCGGGCGACGGUUGUCCCGGUUUAAGCGUGUAGGUGUGUGUUCCAGGUAAAUCCGGUUCACUUUAACACUGAGGCGUGACGACGAGGCACUACGGUGCUGAAGCAACAAAUGCCCUGCUUCCAGGAAAAGCCUCUAAGCAUCAGGUAACAUCAAAUCGUACCCCAAACCGACACAGGUGGUCAGGUAGAGAAUACCAAGGCGCUUGAGAGAACUCGGGUGAAGGAACUAGGCAAAAUGGUGCCGUAACUUCGGGAGAAGGCACGCUGACACGUAGGUGAAGUGAUUUACUCAUGGAGCUGAAGUCAGUCGAAGAUACCAGCUGGCUGCAACUGUUUAUUAAAAACACAGCACUGUGCAAACACGAAAGUGGACGUAUACGGUGUGACGCCUGCCCGGUGCCGGAAGGUUAAUUGAUGGGGUCAGCGCAAGCGAAGCUCCUGAUCGAAGCCCCGGUAAACGGCGGCCGUAACUAUAACGGUCCUAAGGUAGCGAAAUUCCUUGUCGGGUAAGUUCCGACCUGCACGAAUGGCGUAAUGAUGGCCAGGCUGUCUCCACCCGAGACUCAGUGAAAUUGAACUCGCUGUGAAGAUGCAGUGUACCCGCGGCAAGACGGAAAGACCCCGUGAACCUUUACUAUAGCUUGACACUGAACAUUGAGCCUUGAUGUGUAGGAUAGGUGGGAGGCUUUGAAGUGUGGACGCCAGUCUGCAUGGAGCCGACCUUGAAAUACCACCCUUUAAUGUUUGAUGUUCUAACGUGGACCCGUUACCCGGGUUGCGGACAGUGUCUGGUGGGUAGUUUGACUGGGGCGGUCUCCUCCUAAAGAGUAACGGAGGAGCACGAAGGUUGGCUAAUCCUGGUCGGACAUCAGGAGGUUAGUGCAAUGGCAUAAGCCAGCUUGACUGCGAGCGUGACGGCGCGAGCAGGUGCGAAAGCAGGUCAUAGUGAUCCGGUGGUUCUGAAUGGAAGGGCCAUCGCUCAACGGAUAAAAGGUACUCCGGGGAUAACAGGCUGAUACCGCCCAAGAGUUCAUAUCGACGGCGGUGUUUGGCACCUCGAUGUCGGCUCAUCACAUCCUGGGGCUGAAGUAGGUCCCAAGGGUAUGGCUGUUCGCCAUUUAAAGUGGUACGCGAGCUGGGUUUAGAACGUCGUGAGACAGUUCGGUCCCUAUCUGCCGUGGGCGCUGGAGAACUGAGGGGGGCUGCUCCUAGUACGAGAGGACCGGAGUGGACGCAUCACUGGUGUUCGGGUUGUCAUGCCAAUGGCACUGCCCGGUAGCUAAAUGCGGAAGAGAUAAGUGCUGAAAGCAUCUAAGCACGAAACUUGCCCCGAG